UACGGAGGGUGCAAGCGUUGUCCGGAUUCAUUGGGUUUAAAGGGUGCGUAGGCGGCUGAUUAAGUCAGCGGUGAAAUUCCACAGCUCAACUGUGGAACUGCCAUUGAUACUGGUUAGCUUGAGUACAGAUGAGGUAGGCGGAAUUGACAGUGUAGCGGUGAAAUGCUUAGAUAUUGUCAAGAACACCUAUUGCGAAGGCAGCUUACUAAGCUGUAACUGACGCUGAGGCACGAAAGCGUGGGGAUCAAACAGG
rnacentral:rRNA from 1 species